rnacentral:rRNA from 1 species
GAAUAUUGGACAAUGGGGGCAACCCUGAUCCAGCGACGCCGCGUGGGUGAAGAAGGCCUUCGGGUUGUAAAGCUCUUUCGGCGGGGACGAAACGGUCCGUGCUAAUACCACGGACUACUGACGGUACCCGCAGAAGAAGCACCGGCUAACUACGUGCCAGCAGCCGCGGUAAUACGUAGGGUGCAGGAGUUAAUCGGAAUUACUGGGCGUAAAGCGUGCGCAGGCGGUUUGUUAAGACAGGUGUGAAAUCCCCGGGCUUAACCUGGGAACUGCGCUUGUAACUGGCAGACUGGAGUGUGGCAGAGGGGGGUGGAAUUCCAAGUGUAGCAGUGAAAUGCGUAGAUAUUUGGAGGAACACCGAUGGCGAAGGCAGCCCCCUGGGCUAACACUGACGCUCAUGCACGAAAGCGUGGGGAGCAAACAGG